rnacentral:rRNA from 1 species
UUGCGGCGGCCAUGGCCCAGGUGAGACGCCCGGUCCCAUUCCGAACCCGGAAGCUAAGGCCUGGCACGGCGAUGGUACUGCACCCGACAGGGUGUGGGAGAGUAGCACGCCGCCGCAAC